GACGACCCGAGCCACUACAGGGAGUGCGACGGCAAUGAAGCCUCAUCUCCCUCCUUCGCGUCUCUCUCCUCUCCUGGCGACAGCAACAGCGACGACAUUUCUCGCCGGCACCGCACCAUCCCUCUUCUCCGAUUCCCCUUCCCCAGUUCCCUCUGAUUCCUCAACUUCUCUCUCUGUUCUAUUUCAUGAAUGCCGCUGAUUUUGGAAGAGGCAAUAGGAUUAGG